rnacentral:misc_RNA from 1 species
UAGACUUAUUUAUUUAGUUUGGAUCAAUUGGUAUACCAAUUAGGGACUAUAGAUAGCAGUACUGCCCAUGGAAAUAAUCAUUAACAGACAAAAUAUGUCUGACAUGAUUAUUCUACAGGCUUUAUGCCUGCCCGUUGGCCAAUGUGCCUAAUAUUAUAUCUGGCUUAAAUGCCUGCCUGCAGGCUUCAUGCCUGACAUGAUUGACGUAUACUGGAUAGACAUAUG